CGCCAGACUCCUACGGGAGGCAGCAGUGGGGAAUAUUGCACAAUGGGGGAAACCCUGAUGCAGCGACGCCGCGUGAGUGAAGAAGUAUUUCGGUACGUAAAGCUCUAUCAGCAGGAAAGAAAAUGACGGUACCUGACUAAGAAGCCCCGGCUAACUACGUGCCAGCAGCCGCGGUAAUACGUAGGGGGCAAGCGUUAUCCGGAUUUACUGGGUGUAAAGGGAGCGUAGACGGCAGCGCAAGUCUGGAGUGAAAUGCCGGGGCCCAACCCCGGAACUGCUCUGGAAACUGUGAAGCUGGAGUGCAGGAGAGGUAAGCGGAAUUCCUGGUGUAGCGGUGAAAUGCGUAGAUAUCAGGAGGAACACCGGCGGCGAAGGCGGCUUACUGGACUGUAACUGACGUUGAGGCUCGAAGGCGUGGGGAGCAAACAGGAUUAGAUCCCCUAGUA
rnacentral:rRNA from 1 species